rnacentral:lncRNA from 1 species
GUAUGGGGGAGUAAGUGACCCAGUUUCGCCUGCGGGGAACGUCGGCGACGUGGUACCAUGCAACCGAGGUUUGCCGUGCCCAAGAGCGGAAUCUUUCUGUGGCUGUCUCCUGACACGCGCGGAUAAUCGGCUCGGGCUCUCCACAUUCUGAGUAUCAACCAUUCAUACGAUUUAGCAGCACAACGAUGGCAGGUGGCGACGCUUCUACUAGGAAGACCCGAUCUUCGACAGCAGUGCUCUUCUAACCUACUGGGGGUUGCGCGCCCUGUUCUCUGAUUUCCGUGACUGUUGCAACAGCAGCACUGGGUUAAAAGGACGAAGGAGCUCUACCACAUCUGAAGGCAGGUGGUCUACGUGAAAAUGACCGGUUCCACGGCUCGCCAUCCAAGGUGUAGCUGUCGGUUCAGGAUGCAUAGUUACCCCGACUACGCCAAAAUUCUCUCUUUUUGCAGAAGCAUGAAGCUGUAUGGCCUCGAGUCGUGUCUUCAAACGAAACGUGGAUGCUUCCCUUUGACGAGUUUUCUCAAAACAAAGAGGCGGCACGGUAGUACCUUCCACGCAGGAUAAUCGUGUUAGAGUCGCCACCCCUGAACGGUAGAUUUCCUCCACAUCCUCAUGCUGCACACUACGCUCGCGUGCGUCAGGACUGGGGC